rnacentral:misc_RNA from 1 species
UGGCUCUCGCAUCGAUGAAGAACGCAGCGAAAUGCGAUACGUAAUGUGAAUUGCAGAAUUCAGUGAAUCAUCGAAUCUUUGAACGCAUAUUGCGCUCUCUGGUAUUCCGGAGAGCAUGCUUGUUUGAGUAUCAGUAAACACCUCAAGCACUAUAAAUGAUUUUAAAUUAUUUUUAGUGGUUGGAUUUGAGUAAUCCCAACACUCAGUGAUGAUGUGGCGGGUUGCUUGAAAUGCAGGUGCAGCAGGAUUUUUCAUCUGAGCUAAAGGCAUAUUUAUUUAGUCCCUUCAAAAAGGAUUAUUACUUUGCUUCAGCUAAUUUUAAAGGAUGGAUUUUCCGUAUUUUGCUGACUGAUGCAGGAAAUACUACAGUGGAAUUUUGUCCGCUGUAUUUCUCGAUCUCAAAUCAAGUAAGACUACCCGCUGA